rnacentral:rRNA from 1 species
AUGAUCUUUGGAGCAGGGAAAUCUUGUAUUCUUUUUUUUCUCGAGAAAACGCAAAAGAGUUUGCGUUUCAUUUCAUUGAACAGGAAGAGAACAGCAGUACAGGUACAACCUCCCAAGAGGAGGGACACACGCACACACAUCAUUGUCCUCACCAAACGAGCAGGCGAGGAGGUGCUACCAGCUACAGACUGCAACUACGAAAGGUCUAGCCUUGUCCAGCCUCCAACCAUGAACGGCGAGGUGACUAGACUCAGAGCCUCAAGGCCGUGUCACAGCCGUUGCCAGGCGCCUCCAAAGAAGACAGCAUCUCCAGGGCUGUCCAGACCAACGUACCUUCCACCCAUAAGUGCCUAA